rnacentral:lncRNA from 1 species
CUAUUUGCUCACACCUUAGAAGCCUUAAGCCUUUAGGUUGUUUUUUCUAUACUAUUUGCGUUUCGUACUAUACUAUUACUAAUACAUUCGAACCGUUAACAAUAGAAAUCCUAAACACAACAUCCCCACUCAUACUAAAUUCUAAAUCCAUUACAAUAACACCUUUUAAUAAUACAAAACCUCAUCAACACCCCCACCCUUAUUGAAAACUAAACCCAACCCCUGCCCCCCCCCCUCACACCCGUAACCCUAUACACAUUACGAUUACCCAAUAUAACGUGAUAUUAUAAAUCGUCAUACAUGAAAUAG